AUGCAAGUCGAGCGGUAGAGAGGUGCUUGCACCUCUUGAGAGCGGCGGACCGGUGAGUAAAGCCUAGGAAUCUGCCUGGUAGUGGGGGAUAACCCUCGGAAACGGACGCUAAUACCGCAUACGUCCUACGGGAGAAAGCAGGGGACCUUCGGGCCUUGCGCUAUCAGAUGAGCCUAGGUCGGAUUAGCUAGUUGGUGAGGUAAUGGCUCACCAAGGCGACGAUCCGUAACUGGUCUGAGAGGAUGAUCAGUCACACUGGAACUGAGACACGGUCCAGACUCCUACGGGAGGCAGCAGUGGGGAAUAUUGGACAAUGGGCGAAAGCCUGAUCCAGCCAUGCCGCGUGUGUGAAGAAGGUCUUCGGAUUGUAAAGCACUUUAAGUUGGGAGGAAGGGCAUUAACCUAAUACGUUAGUGUUUUGACGUUACCGACAGAAUAAGCACCGGCUAACUCUGUGCCAGCAGCCGCGGUAAUACAGAGGGUGCAAGCGUUAAUCGGAAUUACUGGGCGUAAAGCGCGCGUAGGUGGUUCGUUAAGUUGGAUGUGAAAUCCCCGGGCUCAACCUGGGAACUGCAUUCAAAACUGUCGAGCUAGAGUAUG
rnacentral:rRNA from 1 species